AAAUGGGUGCAAUGAGCAGAUGAAAUAGUCAAGCAAAGUGAAAGAACUGUCAAAUCUCAAUCCUGUUUUCCUGAACCACUGAUACAGUUUUCUUUGCACCUCAACCAGGCAAUUUGCCACAGGAGAGAAAAUGGAUUUAGCAGACUCAACAGCACGGUCCACUCUGCAGUGAGAUAUCGUAGCUGACUAUGAGUUUCUGCUCACUGUUGCUGCCCAGCAUCACAAUGGUGAAUCAGACUGCAUGCUACUAGUAUGAGAGAUUACCAAAAUGCAAAAUUUGAAAUAUUGGUUCUACAGAAUGGGUGUGACUUACAUAGCAUCAUAAGAUAAAAACCUGUCUAGACACCAGGGCAACACACGUCUCCAUGAAAGUUAUGAAUCA